rnacentral:rRNA from 1 species
ACACNUGCAANUCGAACGGUAGCNCAGAGAGCUUNNUCUUGGGNGACGAGUGGCGGACGGGUGAGUAAUNUCUGGGAAANUGCCCGAUGGAGGGGNNUAACUACUGGAAACGGUAGCUAAUNCCGCAUAACGUNUUNGGACCAAAGUGGGGGACNUUCGGNCCUCACACCAUNGGAUGUGCCCAGAUGGGAUUAGCUAGUAGGUGGGGUAAUGGCUCACCUAGGCGACGAUCCCUAGCUGGUCUGAGAGGAUGACCAGCCACACUGGAACUGAGACACGGUCCAGACUCNUACGGGAGGCAGCAGUGGGGAAUAUUGCACAAUGGGCGCAAGCCUGAUGCAGCCAUGCCGCGUGUAUGAAGAAGGCCUUCGGGUUGUAAAGUACUUUCAGCGGGGAGGAAGGCGAUAAGGUUAAUAACCUUGUCGAUUGACGUUACCCGCAGAAGAAGCACCGGCUAACUCCGUGCCAGCAGCCGCGGUAAUACGGAGGGUGCAAGCGUUAAUCGGAAUUACUGGGCGUAAAGCGCACGCAGGCGGUCUGUUAAGUCAGAUGUGAAAUCCCCGGGCUCAACCUGGGAACUGCAUUUGAAACUGGCAGGCUUGAGUCUCGUAGAGGGGGGUAGAAUUCCAGGUGUAGCGGUGAAAUNNNNNNANAUCUGGAGGAAUACCGGUGGCGAAGGCGGCCCCCUGGACGAAGACUGACGCUCAGGUGCGAAAGCGUGGNGNNNANNCAGGAUUAGAUACCCUGGUAGUCCACGCCGUAAACNNNNNNNNCUNGGAGGUUGUGCCCUUGAGGCGUGGCUUCCGGAGCUAACG